rnacentral:rRNA from 1 species
UAUGUAGGGUGCGAGCGUUGUCCGGAUUUAUUGGGCGUAAAGAGCGUGUAGGCGGCCUGAAAGGUCAGCUGUGAAAACUCGAGGCUUAACCUCGAGACGUCGGUUGAAACCAUCUGGCUAGAGUCCGGAAGAGGAGUGUGGAAUUCCCGGUGUAGCGGUGAAAUGCGCAGAUAUCGGGAAGAACACCCGUGGCGAAGGCGGCACUCUGGGACGGUACUGACGCUGAGACGCGAAAGCGUGGGGAGCGAACAGG